AUUGAACGCUGGCGGCAUGCUUUACACAUGCAAGUCGAACGGUAACAGGCCGCAAGGUGCUGACGAGUGGCGAACGGGUGAGUAAUGCAUCGGAACGUGCCCAGUCGGGGGGGAUAACUACUCGAAAGAGUAGCUAAUACCGCAUACGAUCUAUGGAUGAAAGCGGGGGACCGUAGGGCCUCGCGCGAUUAGAGCGGCCGAUGUCAGAUUAGGUAGUUGGUGGGGUAAAGGCUCACCAAGCCAACGAUCUGUAGCUGGUCUGAGAGGACGACCAGCCACACUGGGACUGAGACACGGCCCAGACUCCUACGGGAGGCAGCAGUGGGGAAUUUUGGACAAUGGGCGCAAGCCUGAUCCAGCAAUGCCGCGUGCAGGAAGAAGGCCUUCGGGUUGUAAACUGCUUUUGUACGGAGCGAAACGGCUCUGGUUAAUACCCGGGGCUAAUGACGGUACCGUAAGAAUAAGCACCGGCUAACUACGUG
rnacentral:rRNA from 1 species